ACUCAAAUGAAUUGACGGGGGCCCGCACAAGCGGUGGAGUAUGUGGCUUAAUUCGAUGCAACGCGAAGAACCUUACCUGGGCUUGACAUGCAUCGCUCAGGCGGUGAAAGCCGCCGAGCCCCGCAAGGGGCACUUUGCACAGGUGCUGCAUGGCUGUCGUCAGCUCGUGUCGUGAGAUGUUGGGUUAAGUCCCGCAACGAGCGCAACCCUUAUGAACUGUUGCUACGGCUUUACGCCGAGCUCUCUGUUCAGACCGCCCUGUGAAACGGGGAGGAAGGUGGGGAUGACGUCAAGUCAGCAUGGCCCUUACGCCCAGGGCUGCACACGUACUACAAUGCCCAGUACAGAGGGAACCAAGCCGGCGACGGCAAGGAAAUCCCAAAAAAGUGGGCUCAGUUCAGAUUGCAGGCUGCAACUCGCCUGCAUGAAGCUGGAAUCGCUAGUAAUGCCGUAUCAGCUACGACGGCGUGAAUACGUUCCCGGGCCUUGUACACACCGCCCGU
rnacentral:rRNA from 1 species